GCCAGACCCCUCUCACUAAUCCUGCGACACGCUGCUCCCUUACACCAAUCGCGACUGACGCAGCUGCAUUCGGCACAGGUGCUACCAUAGAUAUACUGUAGAAUAACUAGACGCCUCGUGACCAGCUGAAUCGUACGUCAACGUCGCCGCCAUAUUGCGAGUGGCACUACUGUGGAGUGAAGUAAUGGAUAAGAUGCCUCACACAUGUUCUGCUUGGGAUUUUAGAAACCACUGUACGGUUCAAACCAGUUCCCCAGGAUUACAUUUAAUAGCAGGGUCUAGGGAGACUCUCGUCUUUAUGACGGGGAUGGCCUGACGUGGAGGCGCGCCUGACCUGUCACUAGUGUCCUGCUGCGUGAACCUACCGAAGCCAAAGUUAAAAAUCCCCGUGAAUGCGCAUUCUGCACUUCAACGAGUUAAACAGGAAGCACCUGGGUGAUCUCCAAGCCUUCUGAAGAAAAGUUCUAUGGAAUGCAGAGACAAAUUUGGAACAUUUUGCAAGAUAAAAUUCACAACAAAGCAAAUACAGACCUUCAUGAUAAUAACAUCACAUCAAAAGGCAAACCUGGUGGAGGUGGUGUGGGAAUUCUUUGCUGCCUCAGGACCUGGAUGACUUGUCAGAAUUGAAGAAACCAUGCAUUUGGCUCUGCAUUAGAAAAUUCUUAUAGAAGGUAUGGUUAACCAGAGCAGAGCAUCAAAUGAGGAAAAGACGCCAGAACUUCAGUUUGUGAUAAUACUGGUACAGCCUUAUUAUGGUGUCUGAAAACCAGGAUCCUAAGAGACAGAUUAAAAUGCACUGAUACAGUGCUAAGAAAAAGAAUAAAGCACCACUUCACUCAGCCCACAUUGUCUCUCUGAAUUGCUGGUAUUGGACAUAUCGCAUCCUGGCAUUUUUGCAAUGCUGCAAGAGGGGCUUUGGCAAUACUCCAUCAAAUGAGCCACCAGGCAAAGAAUCUUGGAUUAGGCGAAGAGACAUCAGAGUCCUUCCUUUCAGAUUUGUAACCAGCAUUUCCUUAUUCACAGAGUACCCUUUUUCGACUGCUGCUUGCCCAUGUGACAAUGUGAACAGGUCUUUCAUUGAUUUCCACAGAAUUGUGUACUCUGCUUUGUCACCAGCAAAUCUUCCCAUGAAUGUGUCCAGCCGACAGGAGCUACUUCUAUACCCUUGAAAUUCCUCCUUAUGGUGCUGCACCAUUUCAGUGAGGAACUUCUUGUAUUCACUAAGGUUUUGGUCACAUUCCUCUGCUGUAUGCCUUUUGGCGUUAAGAAGCAGCUGUAAGAGCUUCUCAAACAUGGAGAUAGCACGCCUUUCAUCGCUGAUCAUAGUCAUUUGCUGUUGAGGACAGGAAGACUACACAUUCUCUCCGGAAUUGUUGACCCGGCAGUGGUUUUUCAAGCAGCUUCUCUGAGGCUUUCUCAAGAGCUUGUUUGGUGGCAAAGCCAAGAUCCACCUCUUUCAGUGGCAAAUGGAGUGUUUUGUCCAGUACAUCAAUUUUAAGCAUCUGGACAGGUGUUUUGAUGUUAUCCAGUACCUCCCUCUUCAUAAAGCAUGAAAUCAAACUCUUCAGAAGGGCCUGAAGGUCUUUUGCCAAAAAUGGCAUCAUGGGGGCAUCAGUCUGGAAAGUCUCAAGAAAGGGUUUCAGCUUCCUUGCCACAUAGGCAAAAAACUGUAAUUUUGCCUCAAAAAGGGGGUCACCAACAGCCUCUCUGACCACAGUGUAUGAUGUUGACGUUGGCAUUUUACUCUUUGGCAGUUUCUUGUAAUUGUCGACAAAUAUUUCACAUCUUAAGUGCUCUCUCUGCCACUGGCAAGUCUCCACCCACCUGUGAGCACAGAAUUUGAGAGAGAAUGUUAAUGUUUUGGUAAUUUCAAUAAAGUCAUCCCGUCUGGCUGGUGUGUCAUGAAAAAGCUGCCAAAGGGCUCUUAGUUUGUCACCUAUCUUCCAUCCACUUUCCUUCUCGCCUUGUUGGAAGCUUCCAUGAACUGUAUGAAGACCACAAGUUCCUAGGUUUAUCAAGCUUCUAAUAUCUGGGGCCUCCUUAGACCUGUCUUCUUCAAAUAAUCUCAAAAUUUUUUUGUUGAUACUUAGUCCAUCCAUCGAGAUUUGCAGGAGCUUGUUUGGAUCAAGUGGAGAGAGGGAAACUUUAAUGCUCUCAACAAGCUUCUCUGAUUGUGUGUGCCCUAGAAACUGGGAGUCCAGAUAAUGCACAACUACCUUUUCUUCAUUAUCACUCCAGUACCGUAAAAGCAC